rfam:Stegodyphus mimosarum contig55642, whole genome shotgun sequence.
GCCUUCGUGGUGUAGUGUUUAGCACGCUGGGCGCGUAUUCUAGAGGUCCGUGGUUCGAGUCCCGGCGAAGGCG